rnacentral:lncRNA from 1 species
CAAACCACUGGUGUAAGUCCAAGAGUCCAAAAGCUGAAGAGCUUGGAGUCUGAUAUUUGAGGGUUUGUGUUACAAAUAAUCCAAUUAUACUCUUAGUUAUUUGAGAAUAUAUAAUUAAAUUAUUAUUGACUAUAAUCACACUGCUGUGCUAUCAAAUACUAGGUCUUAUUCACUCUUCCUAUUUUUUUUGUACCCAGUAACCAUCCUCACCUCCCCCUGCACUCCCCACUACCCUUCUUGGUCUCUGGUAACCAUCCUUCUACUCUCUAUUUACAUGAGUUCAAUUGUUUCGAUUUUUAGAUCACAUAAAUAAGUGAGAACAUGCAAUGUUUGUCUUUCUGUGGUUGGUUUAUUUAAAAAAAUAAUGAUUUCCAGCUCCAUCCAUGUUGUUGAAAAUGACAGGAUUUCCUUCUUUCUUAUAGAUUAAUAGAACUCCAUUUUGUAUAUGUACCACAUUUUCGUCUUCCAUUGUGAAAACUUCUAGAACCUUCCUUUUUGCCAGUUUCACACAAACAGUGGUCCUGAAACACUUUGG